CGCACAUUGCGCCCUUUGGCAUUCCGAAGGGCAUGCCCGUUCGAGCGUCAUUAUCACCACUCAAGCCUCGCUUGGUAUUGGGCGCCGCGUCUGCCGCGCGCCCCAAAGUCCUCGGCCCCGUGGCCCGUCCCAGAGCGUUGUGGCACUAUUGUUCCGCUCUCGGUGUACGGGUGAUGGCUGGCCGUUAAACACCCCACAGGGUUGACCUCGGAUCGGGUAGGGAUACCCGCUGAACUUAA
rnacentral:misc_RNA from 1 species